UUAAGCGACUAAGCGUACACGGUGGAUGCCCUGGCAGUCAGAGGCGAUGAAGGACGUGCUAAUCUGCGAUAAGCGUCGGUAAGGUGAUAUGAACCGUUAUAACCGGCGAUUUCCGAAUGGGGAAACCCAGUGUGUUUCGACACACUAUCAUUAACUGAAUCCAUAGGUUAAUGAGGCGAACCGGGGGAACUGAAACAUCUAAGUACCCCGAGGAAAAGAAAUCAACCGAGAUUCCCCCAGUAGCGGCGAGCGAACGGGGAGGAGCCCAGAGCCUGAAUCAGUGUGUGUGUUAGUGGAAGCGUCUGGAAAGGCGCGCGAUACAGGGUGACAGCCCCGUACACAAAAAUGCACAUGCUGUGAGCUCGAUGAGUAGGGCGGGACACGUGGUAUCCUGUCUGAAUAUGGGGGGACCAUCCUCCAAGGCUAAAUACUCCUGACUGACCGAUAGUGAACCAGUACCGUGAGGGAAAGGCGAAAAGAACCCCGGCGAGGGGAGUGAAAAAGAACCUGAAACCGUGUACGUACAAGCAGUGGGAGCACGCUUAGGCGUGUGACUGCGUACCUUUUGUAUAAUGGGUCAGCGACUUAUAUUCUGUAGCAAGGUUAACCGAAUAGGGGAGCCGAAGGGAAACCGAGUCUUAACUGGGCGUUAAGUUGCAGGGUAUAGACCCGAAACCCGGUGAUCUAGCCAUGGGCAGGUUGAAGGUUGGGUAACACUAACUGGAGGACCGAACCGACUAAUGUUGAAAAAUUAGCGGAUGACUUGUGGCUGGGGGGGAAAGGCCAAUCAAACCGGGAGAUAGCUGGUUCUCCCCGAAAGCUAUUUAGGUAGCGCCUCGUGAAUUCAUCUCCGGGGGUAGAGCACUGUUUCGGCAAGGGGGUCAUCCCGACUUACCAACCCGAUGCAAACUGCGAAUACCGGAGAAUGUUAUCACGGGAGACACACGGCGGGUGCUAACGUCCGUCGUGAAGAGGGAAACAACCCAGACCGCCAGCUAAGGUCCCAAAGUCAUGGUUAAGUGGGAAACGAUGUGGGAAGGCCCAGACAGCCAGGAUGUUGGCUUAGAAGCAGCCAUCAUUUAAAGAAAGCGUAAUAGCUCACUGGUCGAGUCGGCCUGCGCGGAAGAUGUAACGGGGCUAAACCAUGCACCGAAGCUGCGGCAGCGACGCUUAUGCGUUGUUGGGUAGGGGAGCGUUCUGUAAGCCUGUGAAGGUGUGCUGUGAGGCAUGCUGGAGGUAUCAGAAGUGCGAAUGCUGACAUAAGUAACGAUAAAGCGGGUGAAAAGCCCGCUCGCCGGAAGACCAAGGGUUCCUGUCCAACGUUAAUCGGGGCAGGGUGAGUCGACCCCUAAGGCGAGGCCGAAAGGCGUAGUCGAUGGGAAACAGGUUAAUAUUCCUGUACUUGGUGUUACUGCGAAGGGGGGACGGAGAAGGCUAUGUUGGCCGGGCGACGGUUGUCCCGGUUUAAGCGUGUAGGCUGGUUUUCCAGGCAAAUCCGGAAAAUCAAGGCUGAGGCGUGAUGACGAGGCACUACGGUGCUGAAGCAACAAAUGCCCUGCUUCCAGGAAAAGCCUCUAAGCAUCAGGUAACAUCAAAUCGUACCCCAAACCGACACAGGUGGUCAGGUAGAGAAUACCAAGGCGCUUGAGAGAACUCGGGUGAAGGAACUAGGCAAAAUGGUGCCGUAACUUCGGGAGAAGGCACGCUGAUAUGUAGGUGAAGCGACUUGCUCGUGGAGCUGAAAUCAGUCGAAGAUACCAGCUGGCUGCAACUGUUUAUUAAAAACACAGCACUGUGCAAACACGAAAGUGGACGUAUACGGUGUGACGCCUGCCCGGUGCCGGAAGGUUAAUUGAUGGGGUCAGCGCAAGCGAAGCUCUUGAUCGAAGCCCCGGUAAACGGCGGCCGUAACUAUAACGGUCCUAAGGUAGCGAAAUUCCUUGUCGGGUAAGUUCCGACCUGCACGAAUGGCGUAAUGAUGGCCAGGCUGUCUCCACCCGAGACUCAGUGAAAUUGAACUCGCUGUGAAGAUGCAGUGUACCCGCGGCAAGACGGAAAGACCCCGUGAACCUUUACUAUAGCUUGACACUGAACAUUGAGCCUUGAUGUGUAGGAUAGGUGGGAGGCUUUGAAGUGUGGACGCCAGUCUGCAUGGAGCCGACCUUGAAAUACCACCCUUUAAUGUUUGAUGUUCUAACGUUGACCCGUAAUCCGGGUUGCGGACAGUGUCUGGUGGGUAGUUUGACUGGGGCGGUCUCCUCCUAAAGAGUAACGGAGGAGCACGAAGGUUGGCUAAUCCUGGUCGGACAUCAGGAGGUUAGUGCAAUGGCAUAAGCCAGCUUGACUGCGAGCGUGACGGCGCGAGCAGGUGCGAAAGCAGGUCAUAGUGAUCCGGUGGUUCUGAAUGGAAGGGCCAUCGCUCAACGGAUAAAAGGUACUCCGGGGAUAACAGGCUGAUACCGCCCAAGAGUUCAUAUCGACGGCGGUGUUUGGCACCUCGAUGUCGGCUCAUCACAUCCUGGGGCUGAAGUAGGUCCCAAGGGUAUGGCUGUUCGCCAUUUAAAGUGGUACGCGAGCUGGGUUUAGAACGUCGUGAGACAGUUCGGUCCCUAUCUGCCGUGGGCGCUGGAGAACUGAGGGGGGCUGCUCCUAGUACGAGAGGACCGGAGUGGACGCAUCACUGGUGUUCGGGUUGUCAUGCCAAUGGCACUGCCCGGUAGCUAAAUGCGGAAGAGAUAAGUGCUGAAAGCAUCUAAGCACGAAACUUGCCCCGAGAUGAGUUCUCCCUGACUCCUUGAGAGUCCUGAAGGAACGUUGAAGACGACGACGUUGAUAGGCCGGGUGUGUAAGCGCAGCGAUGCGUUGAGCUAACCGGUACUAAUGAACCGUGAGGCUUAACCUU
rnacentral:rRNA from 2 species